rnacentral:tRNA from 1 species
UCCCUAGAAGUCCACAGGUUAGGACUCUGCACUUUCACUGCCUAAGGCCUGGGUUCAAUCCCCGGUCAGGGAA